GACAGAGGGUGCAAACGUUGUUCGAAAUUACUGGGCGUAAAGCGUGUGUAGGCGGCCAUGUAAGUCGGAUGUGAAAGCCCCGGGCUUAACCCGGGAAGUGCAUUCGAUACUGCGUGGCUUGAGUAUCGGAGAGGUUGGUGGAAUUCUCGGUGUAGAGGUGAAAUUCGUAGAUAUCGAGAGGAACACCGGUGGCGAAGGCGGCCAACUGGACGAAUAUCGAGCGCUGAGACACGAAAGCGUGGGGAGCAAACAGGAUUAGAACCUACCCGUCGAGUCCAAG
rnacentral:rRNA from 1 species